AUAUAGAGAUCACCUACUCCUCCCUAGAAUUCUCCUAAUGUGCUUUAAACUGAGCUUUCGAUCUCACUUCAAAGUCUUUCCAUCUUUGUAGAUUCUGGAUUUCUACAGCAUAAAACACUCUUUGAGUUUGCAUACUAUUUGAUCCAGGGUAUCAUGGACUCUUACAACAGUUCAGAGGUUUAGACCACUAUUGUCUUGCUGGUAAGUGUGGUGGCAUGCAGGUAGACAUGAUGCUGGAGAGGGAGCUGAGAAUUUUACAUCUCAAUCUACAGGCAGCAGAGAAAAGAACAUUCUCCCGGAUCCCUCUCAUUUUCUUACUUAACCCAACUUCAUGUUCUCUCUCUCUCUCUGUCUCUCUGUCUCUCUGUCUCUGUCUCACAAAGAAAAAUCCAGAGAAAACAAAACAAAGAACUGCAGGAGGAGAAACAAGAGUGGGCAGCCAGUCUGCAUCUUCUUUUAUCUCAGAAUUUGAGGAAAGACAUUGUUCAACAACUUAAACAGUGCCAUCUGUACAGCAAUGCCCACCAGCCUGGGACCCAAAGCUAAGCUGGACCACUGGAUUCCUUUCUGUCAUGGACACAGGCAAAAUGGGUGUGUUUGAAAUAAACACCAAUGGAAAACGA